UUUUGCCCCAAAGGGUUAUUUUGUUGAUAAGGUAAAUGAUACUCCCUCCGUCCCAAAAAGAUUGUCUUAGUUUGACUUGGCACGGAGUUUAAGAAAUAAAGGAUGACUUUUGAAAUGUGUGGUCCAAAACAAGCCUUAGAUAUUUAUGUGGUUGUAAAUCAUCUCAUAAAGUUAAAUUGUUUCUAAAUAUAGAAAUGUGCCAAUCUUUUUGGAACAAACUAAUAAGGAAAGUAAGACAAUCUUUUUGGGACGGAGGGAGUAGUAGCUAAGGAUAUGGUAAAAUUGUUACAAAUUUGUAUUCAAUUACCUUAAGACAUUUUUGUUGAUAAUUUAUUUUGAUAACCGUGGUCUUCGGGCCGACUUUUUGUGCAUACCUCGACUAAUUCCAAGGGUAUCUAUUAUAGUGUAUGCUUGUUGUGGAUGGAUUAAAUUACCAUCGACAUUUUUAUCCUUGGUGUACAUAGUAUGUAUAGUGGUGGAGCUAGAGGGAAGGGGGUUCAUUCGAACCCCCGUUGCCGAGAAAAAACAUUGUGUACAGAAGAUCAACUUUUUUUGUUUUAUGUAGAUAGAUUAGAUGAUGAACCUUAGUGAAACUCCGCCACUGAUAGUAUAGUGUAUGCUUACUCUGUCAGGAUAGAUAUUGCUCCCUCCAUAGGAUUAUGCAGAUACCUUAUAUUGAGUUUGGAUGGAAAGAUUUUGAGUACCAUGAAUUGCAUUAGUUUGUAGUUGAUGGUGUUUCAUGUUUUUUUACAACCGUGGUAAUCAGACAGCUUGCGUUCACCUCGAUUAAUUUGCGCUACUUCCCACUAGCACACAACACAACUAAGCAUGAUGUUUCAUUGAUGGGGGCAAAUUUUGCCUUUUAUCACUUAGGUAGUACCUUUGUUGCAAUAUUGUGUUUACCUUUUAGGGUGUCAUGAGCUAUACUUGAGAAGUAUGUGUCGAGAGUUUCAUCAUACCAGGCUGAGUUAACAGUAUCCGGGUUGGGAAGUAGCAGGUAUCAAGUGAAAUAGUUGAGGUGCAUGCUAGCAUCCUGACCACCACCGUUGCUUAAACAAAAGAAGAUUUUUAGCGUGCUUUUCUAUGCAAAUGUUUUGUUGUGUUAAUCUCUUAGAUUGUCAGAGUUGAGUUAUACAUGUGAAGUAUGUGUAAAGAGUUUUUAACAUACUAGGCGGAGUUUUCCAGUAUUUGUGCUCUUGGAAGUUAGCAGGUAUCGGGUGAAAUAGUCGAGGUCUAUAUUGCUCGGACUCUUCAAAAAUGUCGAUGUAUGCUUGUCGGAACCUCCAAAAGUAGUGUAUUUUUAGAGGAUCUGACACGGGUAUAACAACAUUUUUGGAAAGUCCCCGCAACAUAGGCCGAGGUGCAUGCUAGCUGCCUGAAUACCACCAGUAUUAACAACAAAAAAGAAGGUUUAUAACAUGCUUUUAUAUGCAAAUAUUUGUGUUUUAUUCUGUUACCUGAAUCAAUGGUGCUUAACUUUGAGAAGUCGUCAAGUAUUACAUUAGUUUUGAAUGUUAAGUUGAUUAAAAUAUUUUGAUUUAUUCUAGGAUCUGAACCCCGAAAUCAGGAAAACAGGAAACAUAGACAGAAUCGCAGAAGUAAUACUGAAGAUGAAGAGGAGAAUGAUGGAGUGGAAGCACAUAGAUGCUAAGUUUUUCGGAAAGUUGCUUCUUGAACUUAUGGAGGAUUGAAUCAAUGACACGUAUGUGAAUUUUGUCGUGUUAAAAAAAAAAAAAAAAAAAAAAUCAACUCUGCAGUUUCCUUGAUGUUCCUUUAGUGUAGUUUCUUCCCAAAUUAAUGAUUUGGAGAUGAUCAUAUGUAUGUAUAAAUAUAAUUGUGUACCCGUUCUAGCGGGUUGCAAGCAUAAAUUUUGCCUUAAAACUAUGUAUUAUACAUGGAAAGGUUUCACGCUUUCCCUCGAUCGUGACUAGUUUUUGAUGCAUAGUCUCUA